GGUGGAAACGCCAUAUUGUGUUUGUGUGAGCAGAAGCCGCUACCGUCCACUUUGUGGGGGUAUUUUUUUUGUUUAAAUAUAAACAAUUAAUUAUAGAAAUAAGCGUAAAUCGGCGGCAGCAAAAGUUGAAGGUGGAUAAUUGCAGUUUGUAGUUUCGGUUAGGUGCAGCAUCCAGGAUGUCUCGAUACGGUUCAGACUGUAAGGUAUAUGUGGGCGAUCUGGGCAAUAACGCUUCCAAACAGGAGCUGGAGGACGCUUUCGGAUAUUACGGUCCGCUGAGGAAUGUUUGGGUCGCCAGGAAUCCUCCCGGAUUUGCAUUCGUCGAAUUCGAAGAUGCCAGAGACGCAGAGGAUGCAAUCCGAGGAUUAGGUAAAGAUGGAAGAACCAUAUGCGGCCGCAGAGCUCGCGUAGAAAUGUCAAAUGGUAAAACAGGUGGAGGUAGAUACAGAGGACCUCCACCUAGGUCUCGUGGAAGACCCUUCCACCCUGAUGAUAGGUGUUAUGAAUGUGGGGACCGUGGCCACUAUGCCAGGGAUUGCAAUAGAUAUAAGAGAGGAGGUGGCAGGAGGAGGUAUAGUCUGUGGCCGAUAGUCAGGUAACGAACGCAUUGAGUCUCAUUCACGUCUCGUGUUUGCCAACCCGCUGACUGCGCAGAGCCGCCUCGUAGUACCUUCUCCGCUGUCUAUCUCAAUGUCUGCACACACACACGACACACGCAUCUGCUUGAUCUGUUAGACCAUCGUGAGCCGGUGUGUGCUACUCUCUCACAAAAGAAUUAUUCGGGCUAGUGUUCUUUAUGCUCUACCAACUGAUCCGAUCAUGAUCACGACACAGCUCUCGCAGAUUAAUGGUCUCGCAGUCGUUCGCGUAGCCGUUCUAGGGAUCGCCGAAGCAGGUCGAGGAGCGCUUCCAGAUCAAGAAGUCGUUC